rnacentral:rRNA from 1 species
ACUCCUACGGGAGGCAGCAGUGGGGAAUAUUGCACAAUGGGCGCAAGCCUGAUGCAGCCAUGCCGCGUGUAUGAAGAAGGCCUUCGGGUUGUAAAGCACUUUCAGUAGGGAGGAAGGUAGUGUAGUUAACACCUGCUAUUAUUGACGUUACCUACAGAAGAAGCACCGGCUAACUCCGUGCCAGCAGCCGCGGUAAUACGGAGGGUGCGAGCGUUAAUCGGAAUUACUGGGCGUAAAGCGCAUGCAGGCGGCCUGUUAAGUCAGAUGUGAAAGCCCGGGGCUUAACCUCGGAAUUGCAUUUGAAACUGGCAGGCUAGAGUCUUGUAGA